CCUACGGGGCGCUGCAGUGGGGGAUAUUGCACAAUGGGGGAAACCCUGAUGCAGCGACGCCGCGUGGGCGAAGAAGUAUUUCGGUACGUAAAGCCCUAUCAGCAGGGAAGAAGAAAUGACGGUACCUGAGUAAGAAGCACCGGCUAAAUCCGUGCCAGCAGCCGCGGUAAUACGUAUGGUGCAAGCGUUAUCCGGAUUUACUGGGGGUAAAGGGAGCGCAGGCGGCAAGGCAAGCCUGACGUGAAAGGCCGCGGCCCAACCGCGGGACUGCAGUGGGAACUACCGGGCUGGAGUGCCGGAGAGGUAGGCGGAAUUCCUAGUGUAGCGGUGAAAUGCGUAGAUAUUAGGAGGAACACCAGUGGCGAAGGCGGCCUACUGGACGGUGACUGACGCUGAGGCUCGAAAGCGUGGGGAGCAAACAGGAUUAGAUACCCCAGUAGUC
rnacentral:rRNA from 1 species